UAACACCGUUUCCCGUACGAUCACCGAAGUUAAGCAAUGUGGCGGCUGGUCAGUACCUAGUUUGGUGACCGCUUGGGAAUACCAGGU